UACGUAGGGGGCGAGCGUUGUCCGGAUUUAUUGGGCGUAAAGAGCGUGUAGGCGGCCAGGUAGGUCUGCUGUGAAAACUCGAGGCUCAACCUCGAGACGUCGGCGGAAACCAUCUGGCUAGAGUCCGGAAGAGGAGAGUGGAAUUCCUGGUGUAGCGGUGAAAUGCGCAGAUAUCAGGAGGAACACCAAUGGCGAAGGCAGCUCACUGGGACGGUAUUGACGCUGAGACGCGAAAGCGUGGGGAGCAAACAGG
rnacentral:rRNA from 1 species